GGGUUGUGAGGUUAAGCGAAUAAGCGUACACGGUGGAUGCCUAGGCAAUCAGAGGCGAUGAAGGACGUGCUAAUCUGCGAAAAGCGUCGGUAAGGUGAUAUGAACCGUUAUACCCGACGAUAUCCGAAUGGGGAAACCCAGUAUCCAAUGGAUACUAUCAUUAACUGAAUCCAUAGGUUAAUGAGGCGAACCGGGAGAACUGAAACAUCUCAGUACCCCGAGGAAAAGAAAUCAACCGAGAUUCCCCUAGUAGCGGCGAGCGAACGGGGAGCAGCCCAGAGUCUUAAUCAAUGGCAGUGUCAGGAGAACGGUCUGGAAAGUCCGGCAGUAAAGGGUGAUAGCCCCGUAUCUGAAGAUGCUGUUAUUGUGAACUCGACGAGUAGGGCGGGACACGUGUUAUCCUGUCUGAAUAUGGGGGGACCAUCCUCCAAGGCUAAAUACUCCUGAUUGACCGAUAGUGAACCAGUACCGUGAGGGAAAGGCGAAAAGAACCCCGGCGAGGGGAGUGAAAAAGAACCUGAAACCGUGUACGUACAAGCAGUAGGAGCCUCUUUAUGGGGUGACUGCGUACCUUUUGUAUAAUGGGUCAGCGACUUAUAUUCUGUAGCAAGGUUAACCGUAUAGGGGAGCCGUAGGGAAACCGAGUCUUAACUGGGCGAAUGAGUUGCAGGGUAUAGACCCGAAACCCGGUGAUCUAUCCAUGGGCAGGUUGAAGGUUGGGUAACACUAACUGGAGGACCGAACCGACUAAUGUUGAAAAAUUAGCGGAUGACUUGUGGAUGGGGGUGAAAGGCCAAUCAAACCGGGAGAUAGCUGGUUCUCCCCGAAAGCUAUUUAGGUAGCGCCUCGUGAACUCAUCUUCGGGGGUAGAGCACUGUUUCGACUAGGGGGUCAUCCCGACUUACCAACUCGAUGCAAACUGCGAAUACCGAAGAAUGUUAUCACGGGAGACACACGGCGGGUGCUAACGUCCGUCGUGAAGAGGGAAACAACCCAGACCGCCAGCUAAGGUCCCAAAGUCAUGGUUAAGUGGGAAACGAAGUGGGAAGGCUCAGACAGCCAGGAUGUUGGCUUAGAAGCAGCCAUCAUUUAAAGAAAGCGUAAUAGCUCACUGGUCGAGUCGGCCCGCGCGGAAGAUGUAACGGGGCUAAACCAUGCACCGAAGCUGCGGCAGCGACACAAUGUGUUGUUGGGUAGGGGAGCGUUCUGUAAGCCUGCGAAGGUGUACUGUGAGGUAUGCUGGAGGUAUCAGAAGUGCGAAUGCUGACAUAAGUAACGAUAAUGCGGGUGAAAAACCCGCACGCCGGAAGACCAAGGGUUCCUGUCCAACGUUAAUCGGGGCAGGGUGAGUCGACCCCUAAGGCGAGGCUGAAAAGCGUAGUCGAUGGGAAACGGGUUAAUAUUCCCGUACUGGUGGUAACUGCGAUGGGGGAACGGAGAAGGCUAGGUUGUCCGGGCGACGGUCGUCCCGGUUCAAGCAGGUAGGCAGAGUGAUUAGGCAAAUCCGGUCACUUAAUGCUGAGAUGUGAUGACGAGCCACUAAGGUGGUGAAGCAAUUGAUGCCCCGCUUCCAGGAAAAGCCUCUAAGCUUCAGGUUACCAACAAUCGUACCCCAAACCGACACAGGUGGUCAGGUAGAGAAUACUCAGGCGCUUGAGAGAACUCGGGUGAAGGAACUAGGCAAAAUGGUGCCGUAACUUCGGGAGAAGGCACGCUGGCGGUAGGUAAAGUCCCUUGCGGACGGCGCCCAAGCCAGUCGAAGAUACCAGCUGGCUGCAACUGUUUAUUAAAAACACAGCACUGUGCAAACACGAAAGUGGACGUAUACGGUGUGACGCCUGCCCGGUGCUGGAAGGUUAAUUGAUGGGGUCAGCCGCAAGGCGAAGCUCCUGAUCGAAGCCCCAGUAAACGGCGGCCGUAACUAUAACGGUCCUAAGGUAGCGAAAUUCCUUGUCGGGUAAGUUCCGACCUGCACGAAUGGCGUAAUGAUGGCCAGGCUGUCUCCACCCGAGACUCAGUGAAAUUGAACUCGCUGUGAAGAUGCAGUGUACCCGCGGCAAGACGGAAAGACCCCGUGAACCUUUACUAUAGCUUGACACUGAACAUUGAGCCUUGAUGUGUAGGAUAGGUGGGAGGCUUUGAAGUGUGGACGCCAGUCUGCAUGGAGCCAACCUUGAAAUACCACCCUUUAACGUUUGAUGUUCUAACCUAGGCCCGUAAUCCGGGUCGGGGACCGUGUCUGGUGGGUAGUUUGACUGGGGCGGUCUCCUCCUAAAGAGUAACGGAGGAGCACGAAGGUUGGCUAAGCAUGGUCGGACAUCAUGCGGUUAGUGCAAAGGCAUAAGCCAGCUUGACUGCGAGAGUGACGGCUCGAGCAGGUACGAAAGUAGGUCUUAGUGAUCCGGUGGUUCUGAAUGGAAGGGCCAUCGCUCAACGGAUAAAAGGUACUCCGGGGAUAACAGGCUGAUACCGCCCAAGAGUUCAUAUCGACGGCGGUGUUUGGCACCUCGAUGUCGGCUCAUCACAUCCUGGGGCUGAAGUAGGUCCCAAGGGUAUGGCUGUUCGCCAUUUAAAGUGGUACGCGAGCUGGGUUUAGAACGUCGUGAGACAGUUCGGUCCCUAUCUGCCGUGGGCGUUGGAAGAUUGAGAGGGGUUGCUCCUAGUACGAGAGGACCGGAGUGAACGCACCACUGGUGUUCGGGUUGUCAUGCCAAUGGCAUUGCCCGGUAGCUAAGUGCGGAAGAGAUAACCGCUGAAAGCAUCUAAGCGGGAAACUUGCCUCGAGAUGAGUCUUCCCUGUCGCUUAAAGUGACCUAAAGGAACGUUUAAGACGAAGACGUUGAUAGGCUGGGUGUGUAAGCGUAGCGAUACGUUGAGCUAACCAGUACUAAUGAACCGUGAGGCUUAACCUGACAACACCGAAAGUGUUUUG
rnacentral:rRNA from 1 species